rnacentral:pre_miRNA from 1 species
AGUGAAAUUGCUGGGUCCUAUGGUAAGACCAUUUUUAGUUUUGUAAGAAACUGUCAAACUAUCAUCCAAAGUGGUUGUACCAUUUGCAUUCCCAGAAGCAAU